UACGAAGGGGGCAAGCGUUGUUCGGAAUUACUGGGCGUAAAGGGCGCGUAGGCGGCUUAUCAAGUCAGGCGUGAAAUCCCCGGGCUUAACCUGGGAACUGCAUUGGUGACUGGCAGGCUUUGAGUGUGGCAGAGGGGGGUAGAAUUCCACGUGUAGCAGUGAAAUGCGUAGAGAUGUGGAGGAAUACCGAUGGCGAAGGCAGCCCCCUGGGCCAACACUGACGCUCAUGCACGAAAGCGUGGGGAGCAAACAGG
rnacentral:rRNA from 1 species